GCCAGUGUAGUGUAGUGGUUUGAACAUUGGACUAUGACUCUGGAGACCCGGUUCGAAUCCCAGCUCAGUCA
rnacentral:tRNA from 1 species